UUCUCAUUAGCGGUAGCUUUGAGCAUUUUGUAUAAUGCAAAUAUGCCGAACACCGAGAGCGCAUUAAAAACUGUGUGAAAAAUAUAUAUGGAGCAAUGCAAACAAGACGCUGCUGUAAAAAUCAGUUGAAGUUCAAUGAAAAGCGUGAUAUGAGAAAGCAACUAUUAAAUUAAUCAACGAUUUCACCCAAACAGUAACAGCCAAAACCAUAUAGAAUGCAUUGGAGAAAUUAUGCACGAGAAUAUAA